GUACGAGUGGUCCAAGCGUUAUCCGGAAUUAUUGGGCGUAAAGGAUGUGUAGGUGGUUAUGUUAGUCUGGUGUCUAACCUCUGAGCUCAACUUGGAGGCAGCAAUUGGAAACGGCAUAGGCUAGAGUAUGUUAGGGGUAAGCGGAACUGAAUAGUGGUAGGGUGAAAUCCGUUGAUAUUAAUUGGGAACACCAAAAGCGAAGGGCGAAGCU
rnacentral:rRNA from 1 species